rnacentral:rRNA from 1 species
GACGAACGCUGGCGGCGUGCUUAACACAUGCAAGUCGAACGGAAAGGCCCUGCUUUUGUGGGUUGCUCGAUUGGCGAACGGGUGAGUAACACGUGAGUAACCUGCCCUUGACUUUGGGAUAACUUCAGGAAACUGGGGCUAAUACCCGAUAGGAUCUCCUGCUGCAUGGUGGUGGUUGGAAAGUUUCGGCGGUUGGGGAUGGUCUCGCUGCUUAUCAGCUUGUUUGGGGGGUAGUUGCUUACCAAGGGUUUGACGGGUAGCCGGCCUGAGAGGGUGACCGGGCACAUUGGGACUGAGAUACGGCCCAGAAUCCUACGGGAGGCAGCAGUGGGGAAUAUUGCACAAUGGGCGGAAGCCUGAUGCAGCAACGCCGCGUGCGGGAUGACGGCCUUCGGGUUGUAAACCACUUUCGACUGUGACGAAGCGUGAGUGACGGUAAUGGGUAAAGAAGCACCGGCUAACUACGUG